UGUUGAAUUCCCUUCCUAAUAAAAUAAUUCAUUGAGUAUUAUAUUCUUAUAAAAACUAAAAUUUAAAAACAUUGUUAAGAACAUCUUCAGCUUUACGUUGCUCCAAAAAGAUACACCGCCCCUGCUCAACUGAAAAUUAGACGUUCUUAAAAAAAAAGGAUAUCCGCUGGAUAGUGAUUUUAUCCAGCGGGUAGCGCCUAUCCGGCGGAUAACUUAUUCAGGCUUGGUGCAACCGACCCCAAAAGGAAGCGUUAAUUUUCACUUAAGUUAUUUCCGUAAUGAUAGAUCAGAUAAAAGAACACGUGAAAUUCAUCCAUACCCGGCUUAUAUAAGAAGCACAUGAAGCAAGCUUUGUUAGAGAUAAGAGAACAACAAACAAGAUAGCGUGUCAAGACAGCAACUGCUCUAGGCGAGAAACAUCAAAUAUGGACGCACAAAUUUGGGUCUGCGGGCUCGCCAUAGCAACGUUUUACGCAUGCGCUCUGCAGACGAGCGGUCACUCGAUAAAAGGAAAGAAAUCUACGUACAUGAUCAAUAAUAUAGGCCAUGUUAUAUGUCCCUCUGGAGAUUCUCGUUGUCGCAAAAACCUAGCAGAGAUCAAACACCCUGUUCAUCUACAAGAAGCAUCUAAAAAACUGCAAAAUUAUCCUAGAGAAGAACUCUUAAAAAACGAAAAACAAUUACCAAGAUCAGUGAAGAUCUUUCAUAGAUAUCUGUUACGAAACACGGCUAGGAAAACAAGCAGGAAGCUAUCGAAAGCGAUGAAUUCGCUUCCUAACAAACAGGACACUAGGUUUUUACAUAAUAUAGAAAUCCCUGUGGUAGACCUUAUCUUUCUUUUCCACAGAUAUCUGUUACGAAACACGUCUAGGAAAACAAGCAGAAAGCUAUCGAAAGCGAUAUAUUCGCUUACUAACAAACAGGACACUAGGUUUUUACAUAAUGUAGAGAUCCCUGUGGUAGGCCUAAAACACAGGAAUCAAAAGCGACGCUCUAUUUGUUCCCGUGGAAGAUGGGGAUGCCGCAGAACUGCAUACGAGAAGACUUUAUUCCCAGCGAUGAGGUUCAAGCGUGGUAUUUUGGAGAUUUAAAAUAGUCAAGGAAAAAGAAGGAAGUUUAGGUUACACCGUUAUC